AGUGAACGCUGGCGGUAGGCCUAGCACAUGCAAGUCGAACGGCAGCACAGUAAGAGCUUGCUCUUACGGGUGGCGAGUGGCGGACGGGUGAGGAAUACAUCGGAAUCUACUUUUUCGUGGGGGAUAACGUAGGGAAACUUACGCUAAUACCGCAUACGACCUACGGGUGAAAGCAGGGGAUCUUCGGACCUUGCGCGAUUGAAUGAGCCGAUGUCGGAUUAGCUAGUUGGCGGGGUAAAGGCCCACCAAGGCGACGAUCCGUAGCUGGUCUGAGAGGAUGAUCAGCCACACUGGAACUGAGACACGGUCCAGACUCCUAAGGGAGGCAGCAGUGGGGAAUAUUGGACAAUGGGCGCAAGCCUGAUCCAGCCAUACCGCGUGGGUGAAGAAGGCCUUCGGGUUGUAAAGCCCUUUUGUUGGGAAAGAAAAGCAGCAGGUUAAUACCCCGCUGUUAUGACGGUACCCAAAGAAUAAGCACCGGCUAACUUCGUG
rnacentral:rRNA from 1 species